rnacentral:rRNA from 1 species
GGACGAACGCUGGCGGCGUGCCUAACACAUGCAAGUCGAACGGGGAUUUGUUUCGGCAGAAUCCUAGUGGCGAACGGGUGAGUAACGCGUAGGCAACCUGCCCUCCGGCCGGGGACAACACUCCGAAAGGGGUGCUAAUACCGGAUACGAAGUCUGUGCCGCAUGGUACGGAUUUGAAAGAUGGCCUCUAUUUAUAAGCUAUCGCCGGGGGAUGGGCCUGCGUCCGAUUAGCUGGUUGGUGGGUAACGGCCUACCAAGGCGACGAUCGGUAGCCGGUCUGAGAGGAUGAACGGCCACAUUGGGACUGAGACACGGCCCAGACUCCUACGGGAGGCAGCAGUGGGGAAUCUUCCGCAAUGGGCGCAAGCCUGACGGAGCAACGCCGCCGUGAGUGAGGAAGUUCUUCGGAACGUAAAGCUCUGUUGUUCCCGACGAACCUCCCUUCUAUGAACAACGGAGGGGACUGACGGUAGGGAACGAGGAAGCCACGGCUAACUACGUGCCAGCCGCCGC